ensembl:lncRNA
CACACAUGUAACACACCAAUACCUACAAUAAAGUCUCUUGGUGCGACAUUCGAAUCCCAACAGGAAGUCGGUUAUUUUGAAUUUUCUCCGCAAAAUUUGUGUCGUUUUUGCCAUUUUCAGGGGUUGUACUUUAACGAACUCCUCCUAGAGAUUUAUUCAGAUCAACACCAAACUUUGUCAGUGUAAUCUAAAGGCCUUUGCGAUGUUAAAUUGCGAAGAUCUUGAGGUUUCGUUUAAGGGCGUGUCUGUGGCGGCCUUACAAAUUUCGAUGUUUCGCCAUGAGAAAGGAAGUUGCUAUAACUCAGACAUACAAUUUCCAAUCUGCCCCAAACUUCACAUGUUUGAGAAGACUCCUGACCUGAAUAUAUCUACAUGCCAAUAUUCAGAUAUCGCUAUAGCGCCACCUGCUGGCAACAGGAAGUGACAUGUUUUACGCCGUAACAAACUACUCCUAGAAAUUUUAUGACAUUUUAUAAUUUUUUUGGUCAGUCAAAUCUAAAGGCCUUUGCGAUGUUAAAUUGUGAACAUCUUGAGGUUUCAUUAAAGGGUGUGGCCAUGGCGCCGUGACAAAGUUCGAUGUCUCGCCAUGGGAAUAGAAGUUGUUGUAACUCAG